CUCACAGUGUAAGGCAUGUUUCUGAGGAUAUAAUGAGGCACUCAAACACUCAGUUUAAUGUUUAAAUACCAGGCACAGCGAAGUGGAGACAGGCUUGGCUAAGGAAAAAUUUUCUGAAAGAAGUUGAAACUACAUGGCUGAAAGGAAGACAGAGGUACAAAGCUAGCACUCAACUCCGAGCCCAGGAUGAGUGGAAGUAAGAGACUGGAACAAUCAAGAUGAUGGAUGUGACAACCACAGUAUGAAAGGACAUCAGGGAAGAGGCAAAUGUGCUGGCCCCCUCUCAAGCACUGCAUCCACAUGCCCACCUCUGCCUCAUGGCUUCAACGCACCAUGUCCAAUUGUUUUACUGAAGACUCUUUCCUGAAGACUUUGAAUUAAAGCCCAAGUACUGCACACUGUAA